GGACUACCCGGGUAUCUAAUCCUGUUUGCUCCCCACGCUCUCGCGCCUCAGUGUCAGUGUCAAUCCAGGUAGCCGCCUUCGCCACUGGUGUUCCUUCCGAUAUCUACGCAUUUCACCGCUACACCGGAAAUUCCACUACCCUCUAUUGCACUCCAGUUGCUCAGUAUAAGAUGCAGUUCCCAGGUUAAGCCCGGGGAUUUCACAUCUCACUUAAGCAACCACCUACGCGCCCUUUACGCCCAGUAAAUCCGAUUAACGCUUGCACCCUCUGUAUUACCGCGGCUGCUGGCAC
rnacentral:rRNA from 2 species